rnacentral:rRNA from 1 species
AAACAUCGCCUCUAGCUUAUAUUAGAGGUCUUCCCUGCCCUAUGAUUAUUUAAAUGGCCGCGGUACCUUGACCGUGCUAAGGUAGCAUAAUAAUUUGUCUCUUAAUUAGAGACUGGAAUGAAUGGAAUCACGAGAGUUAAGCUGUUUCUUUUAUACAAAUAAAAACUAACCUUUAAGUGAAGAGGCUUAAAUCACAAAAAAAGACAAAAAGACCCUAUUGAGCUUCAUCAUGCAGUAAGUCUUCUUAUCAAUGAUUUUGUUGGGGCAACAUGAGAAUAUCUAAAUCUUCUCUAUUAUUAAUAUACAGAUCCGCCAUGCGAUCAAUAAAUAAAGCUACCAUAGGGAUAACAGGCUAAUUCUUUUUGAGAGACCAAAUUGACAAAAGAGAUUGGCACCUCGAUGUUGGCUUAGGAACUCGUUUAGAUGCAGAAGUCUAAAAAAGCAGGUUUGUUCAACCUUUAAAAUCCUACGUGAUCU